GAUGUCAAGAUGGUUGCUACACGCACCCAAGGACA
rnacentral:tRNA from 1 species